rnacentral:misc_RNA from 1 species
GUAUAAGUUUAUAAGGUAUUAAAACCCAUUAACAUUCAAAUACAUUCUGAUGGAGUAUGUGUAUAAAUGACAUAGAACAAGAUAUAUUUCUUAGGGAAAAGCUGCUGUUGACAGCAGCAACACCCACAAACAAACCGAGUGUUACCUCGAGAAGCAAUAUAAUCUUAUUCUACAAAAGGUGCACAGGUGAUAAAAAUUGAUUAAUGAUAGGCGUGCACAAUGCUCCAGAAAGCCAGCAGCAACCAUACCAGAUUUAUUUCAAUAAUGAUCCUUCCGCAGGUUCACCUACGGAAA